CUGUAGACACAGGCUACAGUUCAGGUUUCUUUCCUCAUAAGAGCCUUGUGUGCAAUUGCUCCAAGGCUGCUGCCUCUUGUUGGUAGAAUGUGCAACCUGUAUGUGUUGUCCUAAGGGACCAUGGAGACAGUG